CACCUUAACAAAAUUAUGAUGUACUGUAAAUGUUUAAAAAAGGCUGCAAUAUGCCACUGUGUGUCUCAGGUAUCUCCUUCAGCCUCCGCCUGAUCUGCAAUAUGCCACUGUGUGUCUCAGGUAUCUCCUUCAGCCUCCGCCUGAUCUGCAAUAUGCCACUGUGUGUCUCAGGUAUCUCCUUCAGCCUCCGCCUGAUCUGCAAUAUGCCACUGUGUGUCUCAGGUAUCUCCUUCAGCCUCCGCCUGAUCUGCAAUAUGCCACUGUGUGUCUCAGGUAUCUCCUUCAGCCUCCGCCUGAUCUGCAAUAUGCCACUGUGUGUCUCAGGUAUCUCCUUCAGCCUCCGCCUGAUCUGCAAUAUGCCACUGUGUGUCUCAGGUAUCUCCUUCAGCCUCCGCCUGAUCUGCUCCUCUCUUCAUGUUAGCAUAGCAACAACUGCCAUAGCAACCUGACACACC